rnacentral:rRNA from 1 species
CCUACGGGAGGCUGCAGUGAGGAAUAUUGGUCAAUGGGCGAGAGCCUGAACCAGCCAAGUCGCGUGAAGGAUGACGGCCCUACGGGUUGUAAACUUCUUUUGUCAGGGAGCAAUUUGGUCCACGCGUGUGCUUAGCGAGAGUACCUGAAGAAACAGCCUCGGCUAACUCCGUGCCAGCAGCCGCGGUAAUACGGAGGCUGCGAGCGUUCUCCGGAUUUAUUGGGUUUAAAGGGUGCGUAGGCGGAAUAUCAAGUCAGCGGUAAAAAUUCGGGGCUCAACCCCGUCGUGCCGUUGAAACUGAUGGUCUUGAGUGGGCGAGAAGUAGGCGGAAUGCGUGGUGUAGCGGUGAAAUGCAUAGAUAUCACGCAGAACUCCGAUUGCGAAGGCAGCAUACCGGCGCCCAACUGACGCUGAAGCACGAAAGCGUGGGUAUCGAACAGGAUUAGAUACCCCAGUAGUC